UACGAAGGUGGCAAGCGUUGUUCGGAUUUACUGGGCGUAAAGGGAGCGUAGGUGGUUAGGUAAGCCCUCCGGGAAAUCUUCAGGCUUAACCUGAAAAGGUCGGGGGGGACUGCCUAGCUAGAGGGCGGGAGAGGAGCGCGGAAUUCCCGGGUGUAGCGGUGAAAUGCGUAGAGAUCGGGAGGAAGGCCGGUGGCGAAGGCGGCGCUCUGGAACGUUUCUGACACUGAGGCUCGAAAGCGUGGGGAGCAAACAGGG
rnacentral:rRNA from 1 species